rnacentral:rRNA from 1 species
ACGGCUCAUUAUUAACACCCGUAAUCUACCCAGUUUUCGUAUCCAAAACGGAUAUCUGCGUUAAUUUUGGAGCUAAUACGUGCACCAACGUGCUGCUAGCAAUAGUGGCACGCACUUAUUAGAUCAAGGCCGAUUGGGGCAACCCUUUUGGUGACUCUGAAUAAUUUUGCGGAUCGUACGGUCUUGUACCGACAACGUACUGGUCGAGCGGGUGCCCUAUCAACUAUUGAUGGAAGUCUAUGUGUCUUCCAUGGUUGUAACGGGUAACGGAGAAUAAGGGUUCGACUCCGGAGAGCUAGCCUUAGAAACGGCUAUCACAUCCAAGGAAGGCAGCAGGCGCGUAAAUUACCCACUCUCAAUUCGAGGAGGUAGUGACUAUCAAUAACGAGACAGAUCUCUUUGAGGUCUGUCAUUGCAAUGAGCACAACUUAAAGACUUUAACGAAGUCUAUGGGAGGGCAAGUCUGGUGCCAGCAGCCGCGGUAAUUCCAGCUCCCAACGUGUAUAUCGUCAUUGCUGCGGUUAAAAAGCUCGUAGUUGGAUCUUAGCUCANGCCGGUAGUUCUCCAUGUGAGAUACUGCUCGGCUGAGCUGUUUCGCCGGUUUUCCGUAGUUUCGGCUGCGGUGACUGGUGUUGUAACUUUGAUUAAAUCAAUGUGAUUAAAACAGGCGUUUGCUUGAAUGCUUUAUCAUGGAAUAAUAGAAUAUGACUUCGGUCCAUUCUGUUGGUCUUGGGAUCGAAGUAAUGAUUAAAAGGAACAACUCGGGGGCAUCCGUAUCGCUGCGUGAGAGGUGAAAUUCUUGGACCGCA